CCUACGGGUGGCAGCAGUGGGGAAUAUUGGACAAUGGGGGGAACCCUGAUCCAGCGACGCCGCGUGAGUGAAGAAGUAUUUCGGUAUGUAAAGCUCUAUCAGCAGGGAAGAAAAUGAUGGUAUCUGACCAAGAAGCCCCGGCUAACUACGUGCCAGCAGCCGCGGUAAUACGUAGGUGGCAAGCGUUAUCCGGAUUUACUGGGUGUAAAGGGCGUGUAGGCGGGAAAGCAAGUCAGAUGUGAAAACCAUGGGCUCAACCUGUGGCCUGCAUUUGAAACUGGUUUUCUUGAGUACUGGAGAGGCAGGCAGAAUUCCUGGGGUAGCGGUGAAAUGCGUAGAUAUUAGGAGGAACACCAGUGGCGAAGGCGGUCUGCUGGACAGCAACUGACGCUGAGGCGCGAAAGCGUGGGGAGCAAACAGGAUUAGAUACCCCAGUAGUC
rnacentral:rRNA from 1 species